GGAGAGGGCGUCGGCGUGACUGGGUAACUCACGGGUAUUCUUGGGUAAAUAACAUACCAUCAAAUGUUAUUGCUUGAGAAUACACGUAGUCAGCUCGGGUGUUGCAACAAACUUAGAGG
rnacentral:pre_miRNA from 10 species